rnacentral:rRNA from 1 species
GACGAACGCUGGCGGCGUGCUUAACACAUGCAAGUCGAACGGAAAGGCCCUGCUUUUGUGGGGUGCUCGAGUGGCGAACGGGUGAGUAACACGUGAGUAACCUGCCAUUGACUUUGGGAUAACUUCAGGAAACUGGGGCUAAUACCGGAUAGGAGCUCCUGCUGCGUGGUGGGGGUUGGAAAGUUUCGGCGGUUGGGGAUGGACUCGCGGCUUAUCAGCUUGUUGGUGGGGUAGUGGCUUACCAAGGCUUUGACGGGUAGCCGGCCUGAGAGGGUGACCGGCCACAUUGGGACUGAGAUACGGCCCAGACUCCUACGGGAGGCAGCAGUGGGGAAUAUUGCACAAUGGGCGGAAGCCUGAUGCAGCAACGCCGCGUGCGGGAUGACGGCCUUCGGGUGGUAAACCGCUUUCGCCUGUGACGAAGCGUGAGUGACGGUAAUGGGUAAAGAAGCACCGGCUAACUACGU